rnacentral:rRNA from 1 species
UACGGGGGGAGCAAGCGUUGUUCGGAAUUACUGGGCGUAAAGGGCGCGUAGGCGGCCGCCUAAGUCAGACGUGAAAUCCCUCGGCUCAACCGGGGAACUGCGUCUGAUACUGGGUGGCUUGAAUCCGGGAGAGGGAUGCGGAAUUCCAGGUGUAGCGGUGAAAUGCGUAGAUAUCUGGAGGAACACCGGUGGCGAAGGCGGCAUCCUGGACCGGCAUUGACGCUGAGGCGCGAAAGCCAGGGGAGCAAACGGG